GCCGGGUCGAAAAGCGUUGUUUUAAGUCAGUGGACAGCGUUUCUCGACUUGUUAGAGAUACCAUUGAAAAGGAAGAACUUCUGUUUCGUCCGCUUGGACGGAACACUAUCGCAGCGUCAGCGAGAACAAGUGCUCAAAAACUUCAGCAAUAUUCCAGCCGUGGCCGUAAGCUUUUUGUGUUGCUUACCUCCAAGAAACCACUCUAUUUUGUGGA